rnacentral:rRNA from 1 species
GGGGGGGGGGGGGGGGGGGCGGGGGGGGGGGAGGGGGGGGGGGGGGGGGGGGGGGGGCGGGUGUGGGGGGAGCGGCGGGCGGGGGAGGAACGCGUGGGUAACCUACCUGUACGACUGGGAGAACUUCGGGGAACCGGAGCUCAUACCGGAUAACCUGUUGAACCGCAUGUGUCAACAGGGAAAGCCGGUCUUGCUGUCACUUAUAGCUGGAUCCGCGCCGCAUUAGCUAGGUGGUAAGUUAACCGCUUACCAAGGCAACGAUGCGUAGCCGACCUGAGAGGGUGAUCGGCCACACUGGAACUGAGACACGGUCCAGACUCCGACGGGAGGCAGCAGUAGGGAAUCUUCCGCAAUGGGCGAAAGCCUGACGGAGCAACGCCGCGUGAGUGAAGAAGGUCUUCGGAUCGUAAAACUCUGUUAUUAGGGAAGAACAAAUGUGUAAGUAACUAUGCACGUCUUGACGGUACCUAAUCAGAAAGCCACGGCUAACUACGUG